CAGCAUUCUAAUCAGCUCCGACGUGGAGAGCCGACUCUUGGCGUUGAAGUGGCAGCACGACCUGAUAAUGGAGUACCUACACACCGGAGUGAAAACAGAAAAAAACUGUGAAACAAUAUGCAUACGAAUACUGUGAGUUGGAGCAGGUGUCCGGUCGUUUGAGGUGACUCCCUCUUUGGAGAUGCUGCAGAAGUUCAGACGACAUGACCUGAGCAAAUGGAAGCCCAGCAGGUCUCUCUGCUGUAGCUCUUCCACCACCAUGACUAAAGGCGACUGUGCCGACAUAACACCAAGCAGCGCAGGUAUGAAGGGAUGCAGCCCCAGUCCAGACACAAAGGAAGCAAACCCCAAAAACUUCUGUUUCUCACUGCUGCUGGCUGUUUCUGGGAAAAAUAAACAUUUGAUAACAGAUCAUUCAAACAGCAGUUUCACCACCACAGGCUGCCGUGGUGAAGCAAUGGGAUCAAAACCAUCAACUGCGACUAAUCUAAAGGUUUCAUGGUUUCCUGAAAUAUGCAGAGAAAUCCACGCACAGACACAUUUCCAUUGAAGACAGCAGUGAAGGAGCAUGGUGAAACUGCCGUGACUGUUUUGGUUUCAACCAUCAUGGAAAUCUGUCCUGGUACUCUGACUGCACUGCUGUCUCUGGUUUCAACCUGCACAAGCUCAUCAGGGCAUA